UACGUAGGGCGCAAGCGUUAUCCGGGCUUAUUGGGCGUAAAGAGCUCGUAGGCGGUUUGUCGCGUCUGCCGUGAAAGUCCGGGGCUCAACUCCGGAUCAGCGGUGGGUACGGGCAGACUAGAGUGAUGUAGGGGAGACUGGAAUUCCUGGUGUAGCGGUGAAAUGCGCAGAUAUCAGGAGGAACACCGAUGGCGAAGGCAGGUCUCUGGGCAUUAACUGACGCUGAGGAGCGAAAGCAUGGGGAGCGAACAGG
rnacentral:rRNA from 1 species